AUGUUUGCCAGCUCCUGCUCCUCUCUGCCUUGGCCAUGGCCACAGCACAUCCUUCUGGGCCACUUUCCUGUUCCUCUCCCUCACUUGUCCAGGGACGCCAUGAUGAAUAGCUUGGGCAGCGAAGAGGCCCUUGGAGAGGAACUGAGGCUACCAGCCAAGGCCAGAGUUGCCAGGAAUGCAGGAGACCUCACUGCUGAGAUUCAACCUCAGGAAGGCCCAAAAGAUUGUAAGCAGGAGAUGGUCUGAAACUGCCGGUCUGUAUUGGAGCACAACCGAGGUACACCCAGAAGCUGUGCUGUGGGU
rnacentral:lncRNA from 1 species